GACGAACGCUGGCGGCGUGCUUAACACAUGCAAGUCGAACGAAGUGGCGAACGGGUGAGUAACGCGUAAUCAACCUGCCCUUCAGAGGGGGACAACAGUUGGAAACGACUGCUAAUACCGCAUACUGAAGGAGGGGAUUGCGUCUGAUUAGCUAGUUGGAGGGGUAACGGCCCACCAGGGCGAUGAUCAGUAGCCGGUCUGUAAGGAUGAGCGGUGAAAUUGUGAGUUAGAAACGGCCCAGGCUCCUACGGGAGGCAGAAGGGGGGAAUUUUCCGCAAUGGAGGAAAGUCUGACGGAUCAACGCAGGUGGAGUGAUGACGGCUUUCGGGUUGUAAAGCUCUGUUAAGCGGGACGCGGUACCGGAAUAGAAAGCCACGGCUAACUACGUGCCAGCAGCCGCGGUAAUAC
rnacentral:rRNA from 1 species